AAGUCGUAACAAGGUUUCCGUAGGUGAACCUGCGGAAGGAUCAUUAUCGAAUAAACUUGAACAGGCUGUUUGCUGGUCUCCCCUGGGGGGGCAUGUGCACGCUUGUCAUCUUUAUCAUUUCUCCCAACUUGUGCACAUAUUUGUAGACCUGGAUGGAAUUCGUUCCGAGUUGGGACUGCUGUGCUUCAUUUCAAGAGGUCAGCUUUGCCUUGUAUUUUUACAGGUCUAUGUCAUUUUUCACAACCUCUGUAAAUGUGUUUGGAAUGAUAAUGGAUAUAUUGAAAAAGUUAUACAACUUUCAGCAACGGAUCUCUUGGCUCUCGCAUCGAUGAAGAACGCAGCGAAAUGCGAUAAGUAAUGUGAAUUGCAGAAUUCAGUGAAUCAUCGAAUCUUUGAACGCAUCUUGCGCUCCUUGGUAUUCCGAGGAGCAUGCCUGUUUGAGUGUCAUUUUAACUUCUCAACCACAUCAAUUCUGAUGUGGCUUGGAUGUGGGGGAUUCUUUUUGCAGGCCCUUUUCAAUGAGGUCAGCUCCCCUGAAAUGCAUUAGUGGUAUCUGAGCAGAGCUACUACUAUCAGGUGUGAUAAAUUAUCUAUGCCUUUGGUAUUCUGCAUGAACAGAUUGUGCUGCUUCUAAUGAUGGCUUGUUGAAUGACAAAUUUGACCUCAAAUCAGGUAGGACUACCCGCUGAACUUAAGCAUAUCAAUAAGCGGAGGAAAAGAAACUAACAAGGAUUCCCCUAGUAACUGCGAGUGAAGCGGGAAAAGCUCAAAUUUGAAAUCUGGCGGUCUUUGACUGUCCGAGUUGUAAUCUAGAGAA
rnacentral:misc_RNA from 1 species